CCUACGGGAGGCAGCAGUGAGGAAUAUUGGUCAAUGGGCUUACGCCUGAACCAGCCAAGUCGCGUGAGGGAAGACUGCCCUAUGGGUUGUAAACCUCUUUUGUCCGGGAGCAAUUGGCGCUACGUGUAGCGUUAUCGAGAGUCCCUGAAGAAAAAGCAUCGGAUAACUCCGUGCCAGCAGCCACGGUAAUCCGGAGGAUGCGAGCGUUAUCCGUUUUUAUGGGGUUAAAGGGGGGCGUGGGCGUAAUGCCAAGUUAGCGUGAAAAGCGCGGGGCCCACCCUGGCGCGGCCGUGGAAACUGGCGUUCUUGAGUGGGCGGGAAGUAUGCGGAAUGCGUGGUGUAGCGGUGAAAUGCAUAGAUAUCACGAAGAACUCCGAUUGCGAAGGCAGCAUACUGGCGCCCAACUGACGCUGAAGCACGAAAGCGUGGGUAUCGAACAGGAUUAGAUACCCUAGUAGUC
rnacentral:rRNA from 1 species